rnacentral:lncRNA from 1 species
CCAUCUAGUCAGGACUCAUGAUAGAAGAACUGUAUCAUACAUUAACUAUAUCUAGAGAUUUUAUUUCGAUUCUACUGGAUUGUCACUAUAUAUUACUAGAUAUCACUGAUGGAUUGUGAGAGCUCAAUAGAAUCAUUUUGGAUCAAUGAUCUUUAACUUGUUAGAGUUGAACUGUUGUGAUCCACUGAAAGGGGUUUCAGUGAUACCUAUGAUAAAGAUCAUGGUAUAUCUCACUACCAGAUAG